CAUCUUGUUUUGAUCAGGGUAAUUUGAAACUUUCUUUUAAGACUUCCUGACUCUAAAGCAAGCAAUAGUAAAGCCAUGUUACGAGCCUUACGGACAUUGAAGUUGUUAAGGUCCCUGAAAAUGGCUAUAACA
ensembl:snoRNA